GAGGAGCCUACGUCUGAUUAGCUAGUUGGUAGGGUAAAGGCCUACCAAGGCGACGAUCGGUAGCUGGUCUGAGAGGACGACCAGCCACACUGGGACUGAGACACGGCCCAGACUCCUACGGGAGGCAGCAGUGGGGAAUUUUUCGCAAUGGGGGCAACCCUGACGAAGCAAUGCCGCGUGAAUGAAGAAGGCCUUCGGGUUGUAAAGUUCUUUCGUGGAGGACGAAAAGGUGGGUGCUAAUAUCGCCUGCUGUUGACGUGAAUCCAAGAAGAAGCACCGGCUAACUCCGUGCCAGCAGC
rnacentral:rRNA from 1 species